GAUGAACGCUGGCGGCGUGCUUAACACAUGCAAGUCGAACGAUAAGUGCCUACUGUAACCUUCGGCCGGAAGGCUUUAUUUCUAGUGGCGGCCUGGUUAGUCACCCCUUGGUAACCUGCCUCCUUCAGGGGGCUAACAGUUGGACACGACUGUUAAUCCCGCAUAAUACCACAGCACCGCAUGGUGCGGGGGUAAAAACUCCGGUGGUAUGAGAUGGACCCGGGUUCGAUUAGCCAGUUGGCAGGGUAACUGCCAACCAAAGCGACGAUCGAUAGCCGAUAGGAGAAGAGGACCGGUCACAUUGGGACUGAGACACGGACCAAACUCGUACGGGAGGGAGCAGUGGGGAAUAUUGCAGAAUGGAGGAAAAACUGAUGAAGCGGCGCGGCGUGAGAGAAGAAGUAGGUCGGUAUGUAAAGCUCUAUGAGAAGGGAAGAAAAUGACGGUACCGGAGUAAGAAGCCCCGGCUAACUACGUG
rnacentral:rRNA from 1 species